rnacentral:tRNA from 1 species
GCGCGACUAGUUUAUCGGUAGAAUGUAUCCUUGCCAAGGAUAAGAGCCGGGUUCAAUUCCCGGGUUGCGCA